rnacentral:rRNA from 1 species
AUUGAACGCUGGCGGCAGGCCUAACACAUGCAAGUCGAGCGGAGCGGCCGACGGGUGAGUAAUGCCUAUGUAUCUGCCUGCUCGUGGGGGAUAACGUCCUGCAACGGGCGCUAAUACCUCCUACUCUCAGUUGAGCCUAGGUGGGAUUAGCUAGUGGGUGGGGUAAAGGCCUACCCAGGCGACGAUCCGUAGCUGGUCUGAGAGGAUGAUCAGUCACACUGGGACUGAGACACGGUCCAGACUCCUACGGGAGGCAGCAGUGGGGAAUAUUGGACAAUGGGCGAAAGCCUGAUGCAGCCAUGCCGCGUGUGUGAAGAAGGUCUUCGGGUUGUAAAGCACUUUAAGUUGGGAGGCGUUACCGACAGAAUAAGCACCGGCUAACUUCGUGCCAGCAGCCGCGGUAAUUC